rnacentral:rRNA from 1 species
UACGUAGGGUGCGAGCGUUAAUCGGAAUUACUGGGCGUAAAGCGUGCGCAGGCGGCGCGUUAAGACAGGUGUGAAAGCCCCGAGCUUAACUUGGGAAUUGCGCUUGUGACUGGCGAGCUGGAGUGUGGCAGAGGGAGGUGGAAUUCCACGUGUAGCAGUGAAAUGCGUAGAUAUCGUCAGGAACGCCAAUGGUGAAGACAGGUGACUGGGCCGGUACUGACACUGAGGCACGAAAGCGUGGGGAGCGAACGGG